CCUACGGGUGGCAGCAGUGGGGAAUAUUGCGCAAUGGGCGAAAGCCUGACGCAGCGACGCCGCGUGAGGGAUGAAGGUCUUCGGAUCGUAAACCUCUGUCAGCAGGGAAGAACGGUCACUGUGCUAAUCAGCAGUGAAUUGACGGUACCUGCAAAGGAAGCACCGGCUAACUCCGUGCCAGCAGCCGCGGUAAUACGGAGGGUGCGAGCGUUAAUCGGAAUUACUGGGCGUAAAGCGCUCGUAGGCGGUAUGUCAAGUCAAGGGUGAAAUCCCCGCGCUCAACGUGGGAACUGCCUUUGAAACUGGCAAACUGGAGUGUGUGAGAGGAGAGUGGAAUUCCAGGUGUAGGAGUGAAAGCCGUAGAUAUCUGGAGGAACAUAAGUGGCGAAGGCGACUAUCUGGCACAUAACUGACGCUGAGGAGCGAAAGCGUGGGUAGCAAACAGGAUUAGAUACCCCAGUAGUC
rnacentral:rRNA from 1 species